rnacentral:rRNA from 1 species
UUGUCCUGUGACUGCGUACCUUUUGUAUAAUGGGUCAGCGACUUAUAUUCAGUGGCAAGGUUAACCAUCUAGGGGAGCCGUAGGGAAACCGAGUCUUAACUGGGCGUUCAGUCUCUGGAUAUAGACCCGAAACCAGGUGAUCUAGCCAUGGGCAGGUUGAAGGUUGAGUAACAUCAACUGGAGGACCGAACCGACUAAUGUUGAAAAAUUAGCGGAUGACUUGUGGCUAGGGGUGAAAGGCCAAUCAAACCUGGAGAUAGCUGGUUCUCCCCGAAAGCUAUUUAGGUAGCGCCUCGGACGAAUACUACUGGGGGUAGAGCACUGUUAAGGCUAGGGGGUCAUCCCGACUUACCAACCCUUUGCAAACUCCGAAUACCAGUAAGUACUAUCCGGGAGACACACGGCGGGUGCUAACGUCCGUCGUGGAGAGGGAAACAACCCAGACCGCCAGCUAAGGUCCCAAAUUACUACUAAGUGGGAAACGAUGUGGGAAGGCUCAGACAGCCAGGAUGUUGGCUUAGAAGCAGCCAUCAUUUAAAGAAAGCGUAAUAGCUCACUGGUCGAGUCGGCCUGCGCGGAAGAUGUAACGGGGCUAAGUAGUAAACCGAAGCUGCGGCAAUGUGCUUUUGCACAUUGGGUAGGGGAGCGUUCUGUAAGCGGUUGAAGGUGUGUGGUAACGCAUGCUGGACGUAUCAGAAGUGCGAAUGCUGACAUGAGUAACGAUAAAGGGGGUGAAAAACCUCCUCGCCGGAAGACCAAGGGUUCCUGUCCAACGUUAAUCGGGGCAGGGUAAGUCGACCCCUAAGGCGAGGCCGAAAGGCGUAGUCGAUGGGAAACGGGUUAAUAUUCCCGUACUUCUUACAAUUGCGAUGGGGGGACGGAGAAGGCUAGGUGGGCCUGGCGACGGUUGUCCAGGUUCAAGUGCGUAGGCUUAAGAGUUAGGUAAAUCCGGCUCUUU